CAGUCGGCGCGCCCGCAGCUGCCGGUCCACCCCAGGCCGGGGCGGGCGGGGCUGGGCGCAGCCAGCCAGCGGCCGGGCCCGACCCUGCCUGCGACUUCCUGGAACAAUAAGCCCCGGGCCCGAGCACUGUGGGCCGGCCCGGGACCUAGAGUGGCACCGCCGCGACCCCUCCCUCGGGCCCCCCGAGGUGGCCAGGGGCUGAGGCGUGACCCGGCCUGCCCCGGAGUGUUUGCAGGAGACGUCGGGGGAACAGCUCGAGCCCGCCGGGACCCUAGCCUCACUGCCCCGCCGCCCUCGAAGACCUGUCCUUCCGGAGCCCUGGAGACCGCAGGGGCACCAAGGGCCCCUCCCCCGGCCUCCCGGCUCUGAGCCCCCCAGCAAACAGUUGUAAUAUCGUGGUUGUAGAUCCUGCUGGUUCUGCCUCAGCUGGGCGCCACCUCAGCAUGGCUUGAUGAGCAGUGCUAGGUCCACGCUCAGGAUCCCAACCGGCGAAACCCUGGGCCUCCGAAGUGGCGUACACAAACUUAACCACUCGGCCACAGGGCCAGCCCCUCUGUGGAGCUUCUUAUUGCAUCUUCUCUUUCAGCCUUGUCUCUCCCAGCAGAGGAUGAAACUGCUCAAGAUUACCUCAGUUUUACAGGUAGAAUACCCGGAUGUGGAAACCAGGGAGUAGAAGUAGGAGUGGCACCACAUAUUAUCACUCUUAAUUAAGGAAUUGGUGCUUUCUAUCCCUGCAAUUCUGGACUUCAUGGGUUUAGAGGACCUGCUUCCCAGAAGAGGGAUACUUCCACCAGAGGACACAGCAAGAAUCCUAUUCAACCUUAAGCUACUUGUGCCAGGAGACCAGCAGACAAAGAAAGGAGUCACCAUCCUGGCAGAGGCAAAGAGGUCAACCAUAACCCUGGAGGAACAGUUCCCAGAUGGGCUGAAUUUACUAAAACAAGUGGAUCUGAGAAACACAAGGAGUGGACUGAAGUGAAUGCUGUGGUAGACUACCAAAUCCUCCUUCAGGAACUAAGUAUUAGUUCCCCAGCUACUGGACUGUUGGCUGUUGAUGGCCCACUUUUGUGUCCUUCUCCGUGUACUGCCCUCAGGCAAAGGUAGCUGCCUUACUCAAGGUGACACUUCCCAACCUCAAGGUCAUCCACAUCCAAUUGAUAUAGGGAUACAAUGGCUCCAAUGCUUUGAUUUGGGAUAUCUCUGAAAUGCCAUCCCAACUCCAGAGAUCACUGAGGCCUCUAUUGCAACUGCAUUGCAGUUCAACUUCUCCCUCUGCUCCAUCAUGUUUUCUGCAUUUCCUCACAGGUGUUGUUGUGAAAGCACUUCCCAAUAAAUCUCUGUGUGCAAAUCUUAGUGUCUUAGAGUCUAUUUCCCAAGAAACUCAAUCUAAAUCUCUUUAAUUAUGUACUGAAAACCUACCAUAAGAUGGACACUGUGCUAGGCAUGGGGAAUACUGUAGUGAUCAAGAUACAGGCUCUGAAUUUAAGAUGCCCAGAGUCUAAACUAGAGGAGCAGACACAUAAACAGACAGUUACAAUACAGCACAAUAAAUGUUACCAUUCAAGUAGACACAAGGUGCUAGGGAACAAGGUAGAUAGGAAGCCUUCCUGGGGACAGCAACAUCCUUGCUUCUAAGUCCUAAAUGAUCAGUAGGAGUUAGCUGAGCAAAGGCAUACAUGUUUAAGGAAGGGCAUUCUAGGCAAGAAGUAGUAUAAUGGAUGCUGUUAACUCUCCUCUUACCGUUGUUUCCCUUUUGCAAUUUCUGGAACCUCUUGCCUAGCUUCUGUGUGCUCUGCUGCUAAUGACUGUACCUGUGACUGUCCUGGGGCUACUGGAGCUACUCUGCCUAUAAACACAAGGAUCUGAAAGUGACUGGGAGUUUACAUCUCCUUGGGGCAGCACUUAGCCAAUGACUGGUGGUUGUGGGGAUAUGAAAGCCCAGCUCCCUUCCAAUCUUUGUUCCAGAAUUUGUUGGGACAAAUGCUGAGGUGCAUUUCAUACACUAAAUCUCAUCCACAGAAUCAGGCUGAGACUGAGACUUUGCUUGAAAUGAUCCUCCUUCUUGGUUUCUCCCCUUCCAUGUCCCAACUCUCUUACAGGUCUCUCCUGAGAGGACUUUCUUACUACGUCACUAGUACAUGAGUCUUUGUCUCAGUGUCUGCUUCUAGGGAAUGUGACCGAAGGCUGGUGGCCUACCUCAAGGCAGUAGCAGUGAGGAAGGAGAGUGGAGAACAGACUUGAGAGACCUUAAGCAGACAGAAUAGACAGGAC